rnacentral:rRNA from 1 species
GAUGAACGCUGGCGGCGUGCCUAAUACAUGCAAGUCGAGCGAACAGACGAGGCUCUUGCUCCUCUGACGUUAGCGGCGGACGGGUGAGUAACACGAGGAUAACCUAUCUAUAAGACUGGGAUAACUUCGGGAAACCUGAUCUAAUACAGGAUAAUAUAUUGAACCGCAUGGUUCAAUAGUGAAAGACGGUUUUGCUGUCACUAAUUGAUGGAACCGCGCCGGUUUAGCUAGUGGGUAAGGUAACGGCUUACCAGGGCAACGAUGCGUAGCGGACCUGUGAGGGUGAUCGGCCAACCUGAAACUGAGACCGGGCCCAGCUCCCUAGGGGAGGCAGCAGUAGGAAUUUUGCCGCAAUGGGCAAAAGCCUGACGAAGCAACGCGGCGGUGGGGAUGAAGGUCUUCGAAUCGAAAGACCCUGUUAUUGGGGAAGAACGAAUGUAGAAGUAACUAUGCACGUCUGAACGGUACCUAAUCAGAAAGCCACGCCUACCUACGG